rnacentral:rRNA from 1 species
CGGGGGGGGCAAGGCGUUGUUCGGAAUUACUGGGCGUAAAGGGCGCGUAGGCGGCCUGCUAAGUCGGACGUGAAAUCCCUCGGCUCAACCGGGGAACUGCGUCCGAUACUGGUGGGCUCGAAUCCGGGAGAGGGAUGUGGAAUUCCAGGUGUAGCGGUGAAAUGCGUAGAUAUCUGGAGGAACACCGGUGGCGAAGGCGGCAUCCUGGACCGGUAUUGACGCUGAUGCGCGAAAGCCAGGGGAGCAAACGGGAUUAGAUACCCCGGUAGUCCUGGCCCUAAACGAUGAGUGCUUGGUGUGGCGGGUAUCGAUCCCUGCCGUGCCGAAGCUAACGCAUUAAGCACUCCGCCUGGGGAGUACGGUCGCAAGGCUG